GCUAAUGCUCGAAAGUGCGGGUAUCGAACAGGAUUAGAUACCCUGGUAGUCCGCACGGUAAACGAUGGAUGCCCGCUGUUGGCGAUAUACUGUCAGCGGCCAAGCGAAAGCGUUAAGCAUCCCACCUGGGGAGUACGCCGGCAACGGUGAAACUCAAAGGAAUUGACGGGGGCCCGCACAAGCGGAGGAACAUGUGGUUUAAUUCGAUGAUACGCGAGGAACCUUACCCGGGCUUGAACUGCAGGAGAACGAUUCAGAGAUGAUGAGGUCCUUCGGGACUCCUGUGGAGGUGCUGCAUGGUUGUCGUCAGCUCGUGCCGUGAGGUGUCGGCUUAAGUGCCAUAACGAGCGCAACCCCUUUCAUCAGUUGCCAUCAGGUGAUGCUGGGCACUCUGGUGAUACUGCCACCGUAAGGUGUGAGGAAGGUGGGGAUGACGUCAAAUCAGCACGGCCCUUACGUCCGGGGCUACACACGUGUUACAAUGGGUGGUACAGAGAGUCAACCGCCGGCAACGUCGGUUUAAUCACUAAAGCCAUCCUCAGUUCGGAUUGGGGUCUGCAACCCGACCCCAUGAAGCUGGAUUCGCUAGUAAUCGCGCAUC
rnacentral:rRNA from 1 species